rnacentral:rRNA from 1 species
GUGGGGAAUAUUGGACAAUGGGCGCAAGCCUGAUCCAGCAAUGCCGCGUGUGUGAAGAAGGCCCUCGGGUUGUAAAGCACUUUUAUCAGGAGCGAAAUCUGCAAGGUUAAUACCUUUGCAGUCUGACGGUACCUGAGGAAUAAGCACCGGCUAACUCCGUGCCAGCAGCCGCGGUAAUACGGAGGGUGCAAGCGUUAAUCGGAAUUACUGGGCGUAAAGCGUGCGUAGGCGGUUCGUUAAGUCUGUUGUGAAAGCCCCGGGCUCAACCUGGGAAUGGCAAUGGAUACUGGCGAGCUAGAGUGUGUCAGAGGAUGGUGGAAUUCCCGGUGUAGCGGUGAAAUGCGUAGAGAUCGGGAGGAACAUCAGUGGCGAAGGCGGCCAUCUGGGACAACACUGACGCUGAGGCACGAAAGCGUGGGGAGCAAACAGGAUUAGAAACCCCUGUAGUCC